GCAGCGGGCCGUCUCAUCGUUCUCUUCUGAGCGAAAUCGAAGAGGGGGAAGGAAAGUCCGGUCAACACAGAGCACCAUGCUUCCUAACGGGAAGAUAUCCGUGAGGGUAUAGUAGUGUAACAGAAAAUAACCGCCCUGAGCGUUGUCGAAGGGAAAGGGUGAAAAGGUGAGGUAAGAGCUUACCGGUCCCGGUGGUAACACCGGGAGCCGUACACCUUAUGGGUUGAAAGACCAUGUAUACCGGCAAUAAGGGCUGCUCGUCCGAUGCCGGGGGGUAGGUCGUAUGAUCCCUGCAGUGAUGGAGGGACAAGAUAAAUGAUGGGAACCGGUUUUUAUUUCUCGCGAAGAAGAUAAAACCGUACAGAAACCGGCUUACAGGCCAGCUGCAAAA
rnacentral:RNase_P_RNA from 6 species